CGUCAGCUCGUGUCGUGAGAUGUUGGGUUAAGUCCCGCAACGAGCGCAACCCUUAUUGCUAGUUACCAUCAUUAAGUUGGGGACUCUAGCGAGACUGCCAGUGAUAAAUUGGAGGAAGGUGGGGAUGACGUCAAAUCAUCAUGCCCCUUAUGACCUGGGCUACAAACGUGAUACAAUGGCUGGAACAAAGAGAAGCGAUAGGGUGACCUGGAGCGAAACUCACAAAAACAGUCUCAGUUCGGAUUGGAGUCUGCAACUCGACUCCAUGAAGUCGGAAUCGCUAGUAAUCGCAAAUCAGCAUGUUGCGGUGAAUACGUUCUCGGGGUUUGUAC
rnacentral:rRNA from 1 species